rnacentral:snRNA from 1 species
GUACUCACUUCAGUAGCACCUUGUACUAAAAUUGGAAUGUUACAGAAAUUAGCAUGGUUCCUAUACAAGGAUGACAUGUAAAUUGAUGGAUCAUUCCAUUUUUAU